CUUAAAUACUACUCUGAAUUUGUUUGUACUACAGGGCUUCCUGACAACUUAGUUAUGGAGAAGAGAAGUCAUGCUGUAACAAAGUACAAUGCAGCCUUAUGAAACCAAACAGCAGUUCGAAGCAUGUCCUGGCUUCACCUUUAACGACAACCCUCCAUAACUUGAAGAUUUCAAUUUUGUUCUCCUCAGGUAUGUGCCUCAGAGCAGGCAGGACUGCAAACUGGGCAUCUGUCUCAACUCUUGAAAGCAGCCAUAUCUCUUUCCAGGAUCACAUUGCGGUUCAGCUUCAUCGUCCUGCAAAAAGAUACAGCUGUUUUAAAAAGCGGGGAUACAAUCCGUGCUCUUCCCUCCAUGCUCUGAAGCACCUCUUGGAAGCUGAAUCCAAGGAAUUGCAUAACCUCGGUAAUCAUGUUGUUAUUAAAUACAACUAAAUUUAA